CUACGGGAGGCUCCAGUGAGGAAUAUUGCACAAUGGGGGGAACCCUGAUGCAGCAACGCCGCGUGGAGGAUGACGCAUUUCGGUGUGUAAACUCCUUUUAUAUGUCAAGGAAAUGACGGUAGCAUAUGAAUAAGCACCGGCUAACUCCGUGCCAGCAGCCGCGGUAAUACGGAGGGUGCAAGCGUUACUCGGAAUCACUGGGCGUAAAGGACGCGUAGGCGGGUUGGAAAGUCAGGUGUGAAAUCCUACAGCUUAACUGUAGAACUGCACUUGAAACUUCUAAUCUAGAGUGUGGGAGGGGGAGAUGGAAUUAGUGGUGUAGGGGUAAAAUCCGUAGAUAUCACUAGGAAUACCUAAAGCGAAGGCGAUCUCCUGGAACAUUACUGACGCUAAGGCGUGAAAGCGUGGGGAGCAAACAGGAUUAGAUACCCGCGUAGUC
rnacentral:rRNA from 1 species